rnacentral:lncRNA from 1 species
AUUUGGAGGCUGGAAAGUCCAAGGUCAAGGUGCCCACCCACUCCGGUCCUGCUGAGAGCUUUCUUCCCGGCUCGCAGACUGCCACCUCUUGCUAUGCCUUCAGAGAUCGUUAAUUAGCACUCCACAGACAAGGGCGCCAUGGCCACCAGCACCUGGGCACAGGAGACAUCCAGGUACAGCAGACGCUCUCGAGUGUCCCUGCUCACAAGGAAGAACCAGCCUAGGAGGGAGACCGAGAAACACUGUGGGAGGUUACACACCAGAGGGAUGAUGCUCACAGCACCUGCCACGUCCUGAGUCCCUCCCGUGUGUCCUGUGCUGGAGCCUCUCGCGCAUCAUCUCUACUCCUCGCAGUGGAGUCCCCCGCACAGAUGGGACAAAUGAAGCUCAACGGCUUUGGGAGUCACAGAAGUUAAAAGUUCCCAGAAAUCACACCCUAGAACUAUGUCAAUAUUAUGAUGAAAUUGCUACCAUUUCUGUUUUACAAUGACCCCAAAAGCAGCACUUCUGGAACCAUCUGUGGAGAAGGACUGGUUUUUAAAAAUUUCUAAUCUGUCACAGACCAAAACUUUUAUAAAAU